rnacentral:lncRNA from 1 species
UCCAUGAGCAACCACUCACUCUGGAAAGUCAAGCUGUCUUGGAAGAGGUGCUGGAAAGGAUGGACAUGCUGCUCAAGGCUCUGGAGACACGGCUGGGCACGGUGGAGUCGCGUGUGGCUGCCCUGCACAGGCAGGUCUGACAGGAGCCUGCUGAGCUGCAGGAGCAGGGCACAGGUGAGGGUUCCCUGCGAUCCCCUGGGAUCCUGGGGGCUUUGCAAGGCUGUGGCAGAGCUGGGAGCGUGGGUGCCCUGUGCGUGGGGGAGCAGGGCUGAGCGAGGCUGUGUCCCAGCCAAGGAGCUCCUCUUGUGUCCCUCAAGAGCAAACCCCAGGGGUUUUUGCUUAAUAAACGCUUCUGAUCAGACAUGCUGGUUUCAUGUAAAUACUUAUUUAAAUUUUUGUCUCUGGAAGCAAAACAUUGAUUUCCUGACUUCCCUGCUAUUCAGUACUGGGUGGGCAUUUUCCUAAGCUAAUGAAAAACCUCCCUGUGGUUCUGUGAUUUCCAAAGGAACAGCACUGAGUUUUUCUUGUCUCCAUAGCUUUAGCUUGACUCGUGCUCAAAGACAGGAAUGGCUCAAUAACUAUAUGUGGUGAAUUAUGAGUUUGGCAGGGUUUUUUGCAAGUUUGGGGCUAAAAUGUGAUGUAAGAAAAGGCUUUUUUUGCAGCAUUAGAUUUUUGAUUUUUGCAGCAUUGCAGCUUUUCAAGCUUUCCAAGUUGCCUUAUUCUGAUUUAACUCUCUUGAAAUAUGCUUAAUAUGUUGAUUAUUUUUCAUUGUUAUUUUUGUUGGUGGGUUUUUUUUUUUGUGUUUUGUUUUUUUUUUAAAUUUGGUUUUCUUUUUUGCCUGCCUUAGGAAAAUGUAACAGAUCUCACUUUUUUCUUCUCCAGUUGAGUGUAGUGUUAUCUUCUUAAUUCAAAAAACAUUUGCUGUAUGGAAAAAGCAUCUUGCCUUGUGAAAGGACAGGUAGGAGCUGUUGCAAUGGCCAGUGCCCUGUGGCACACACACCUGGCCAGGCCCCUGUGGGUGCUGCUGCUGUGCCUGGUGGUGAGGUGAUAACCAGCUGGGCUUUGCUGCCACAGUCAAACCCAGCAGCUUUCCUGUGAAUCCCAGCAAAAUGGGCCCAAGGGCUCUGUCCCUCAGCCUCUGC